UAACAGACUACAAGUAUAUACACAGACUGAUCUUACAAUCUCUGAAAUCAGUGUUACAUAUUGAAAAAUGAUCAAUAAAUUACAGUGUCGCUCUAUUUAGAGUCCAUAGAGCUUAUUAACUACUGUAAACUAUCUAACAACAUGUAAGCUAGCCAACUGACUUACAGUUACUAACCAUACUAACUAACUAUAGUGUAUACUUCACACACAAUCCAAUAAGAGGUGGUUGCAGCAGCCUUUUCGGAGUUUAUUACUUACAAGGAAUGUAUCGAAUCAAAUAUUAAUGCUCAAAGAUACAACAAUGUAAAGCCUUACGCUUUACAGAUCCAAUAUAGUAUACCAUGCUGCAGAAGAUUUUGCUAUGUUCAGGUAUGCCAACCCCACUCGGAUUGCAAACGCCGUGACAGCAUUUUGAUCUUAUGAAAAUUUGGAAUCCUUAAGCCUAAUUGGGGGUCUAUUGGUAGCAACCGCCUCUUGUCCGGUCGCUGGUUUCCAACGCUGAUUAUCAAGAUUUAGCAGAAAAAUAAUAAUUACAGUGCUAUACACAAAUCAUCUAACUAUCACUUUCAAAUCCUCCAAUUGAAUCCUUAAUUAGAACUAUAAGAAAUGUUAUUGGUGGUCCUCCCAUUCUGUUUAUCUUUAUAAUAUAUUUCACUAAAAACCCCCAUUUAGAGGUGGAAUUGAAGCAACAAGGUGCACAGAGCAAAUCAGAUUGGGACCUGAAGCAAGAGAGUGGUAUCAAUAAUUCGUCAUGCCUAAAAUGGACU
rnacentral:lncRNA from 1 species